CAGCCGCCGCGGUAAUACCGGCAGCUCGAGUGAUAGCCACUUUUAUUGGGCCUAAAGCGUCCGUAGCCGGCCGAACAGGUCCGUCGGGAAAUCCACCCGCUCAACGGGUGGACGUCCGGCGGAAACCAGUCGGCUUGGGGCCGGGAGACCAGAGAGGUACGUCCGGGGUAGGAGUGAAAUCCUGUAAUCCUGGACGGACCGCCGGUAGCGAAAGCGUCUCUGGAGAACGGACCCGACGGUGAGGGACGAAAGCUUGGGUCUCGAACCGGAUUAGAUACCCGGGUAGUCCAAGCUGUAAACGAUGCUCGCUAGGUGUGGCGUUGGCUACGAGCCAGCGCUGUGCCGUAGGGAAGCCGAGAAGCGAGCCGCCUGGGAAGUACGUCCGCAAGGAUGAAACCUAAAGGAAUUGGCGGGGGAGCAC
rnacentral:rRNA from 1 species